rnacentral:rRNA from 1 species
CGCAAGACCUUGCGCGAAUGGAGCGGCCGAUGGCNGAUUAGGUAGUUGGUGAGGUAAAGGCUCACCAAGCCUUCGAUCUGUAGCUGGUCUGAGAGGACGACCAGCCACACUGGGACUGAGACACGGCCCANACUCCUACGGGAGGCAGCAGUGGGGAAUUUUGGACAAUGGGCGAAAGCCUGAUCCAGCCAUGCCGCGUGCAGGAUGAAGGCCUUCGGGUUGUAAACUGCUUUUGUACGGAACGAAAAGUCUCUUUCUAAUAAAGAGGGAUCAUGACGGUACCGUAAGAAUAAGCACCGGCUAACUACGUGCCAGCAGCCGCGGUAAUACGUAGGGUGCAAGCGUUAAUCGGAAUUACUGGGCGUAAAGCGUGCGCAGGCGGUUAUGUAAGACAGUUGUGAAAUCCCCGGGCUCAACCUGGGAACUGCAUCUGUGACUGCAUAGCUAGAGUACGGUAGAGGGGGAUGGAAUUCCGCGUGUAGCAGUGAAAUGCGUAGAUAUGCGGAGGAACACCGAUGGCGAA